rnacentral:rRNA from 1 species
GCGCACCAGGCGCGAAACCUCCGCAAUACACGAAAGUGUGACGGGGCCAUCCCGAGUGCCGUCCGCUGAGGACGACUUUUCCCCAGUGUACACAGCUGGGGGAAUAAGGAGAGGGCAAGCCUGGUGUCAGCCGCCGCGGUAAUACCAGCUCUCCGAGUGGUGGGGACGCUUAUUGGGCCUAAAGCAUCCGUAGCCGGCUGGGCAAGUCCUCCGUUAAAUCCAACGAUUCAAUCGUUGGGCUGCGGGGGAUACUGUCCAGCUUGGGGGCGGGAGAGGCCGACGGUAUUCCCGGGGUAGGGGUGAAAUCCUAUAAUCCCGGGAGGACCACCAGUGGCGAAGGCUGUCGGCUAGAACGCGCCCGACGGUGAGGGAUGAAAGCUGGGGGAGCGAACCGGAUUAGAUACCGUGUAGU